AUACUGGCUGAAGGACAGUUCAGCAUAUGGAGUCUAUUCCGAGAAUUUAUACAGCAGACUUCUCUGGAGGGAGAGAAAUCAAAACACAUGUUUUUCAAAAGUGCUGGAAUGGCCUGAUUAGCAGAAAUUACAAAUGGUCUGGAAGAGUUAAAAAGCACAGUAAUUUGAACAGCCAGACAUCAUCCAAAACCCUUCAGGAAUUGUUCUUCUCCCCAGAGAUUUCAUGUUCCCGGCAAUCUCUGUACAAAGCUGUCAGCUUUAAGUGGGCUGAGAGACAAUAUUGGCAUUGGCAUGUUCCCAGUACAAAAAUAAGUGGAGAAACUGACAUACAAGUGAAGUCCCAUUUAAAGCAUCAUAUGGAGCAUCACCUUGCUCGAAGGCUGAAGCAGCCUGUUGGAUGUCAGGCAACACUUCAGGAUGAAAGUCAAGCUGCCUUGGGAAAUACAGAGGCUUUUACUCUGAGGGUUUUCAUUGGGCAAAAGCAUGACAAUCCUGUCAUCCCAGAAAUCUUAUCAAAGGAGAACUUAGACAAUUAA
rnacentral:lncRNA from 1 species